GACAAAAUAGCUCAGUUUGGUUAGAGCGGUGGAAUCAUAAUCCAUAGGUCGUGAGUUCGAGUCUCACUUUUGUCA